CCUGCACUGGACCGUGUAUAAGUCUUCUGGAAUGAAGCGUCAUAGAGGGUGAGAAUCCCGUCUUUGACACGGACUCCCAAUGUAUUGUGGUAUGCUCUCAAAGAGUCGAGUUGUUUGGGAAUGCAGCUCUAAAUGGGUGGUAACCUCCAUCUAAAGCUAAAUAUUGGCAAGAGACCGAUAGCGAACAAGUACCGUGAGGGAAAGAUGAAAAGAACUUUGGAAAGAGAGUUAAACAGUACGUGAAAUUGUUGAAAGGGAAACGCUUGAAGUCAGUCGCAUUGGCCAGGGAUCAGCCUAGCUUUUUUGCUUGGUGUACUUCCUGGUUGAUGGGCCAACRUCAGUUUUGAUUGCCAGAGAAGGGCAGAGGGAAUGUGGCACCUCCGGGUGUGUUAUAGCCUUCUGUCAUAUAUGUCAGUUGGGACUGAGGAAUGCAGCAUGCCGCAAGGCCAGGUCAUUUUUGACCAUGUUCGUGCUUUGGAUGUUGGCAUAAUGGCUUUAAUCGACCCGUCUUGAAACACGGACCAAGGAGUCUAACAUGCCUGCGAGUGUUUGGGUGGAAAACCCGGGCGCAUAAUGAAAGUGAAAGUUGAGAUCCUUGUCAUAGGGAGCAUCGACGCCCGGACCUGAGCUUUUAGCAAUGGAUCUGCGGUAGAGCAUGCAUGUUGGGACCCGAAAGAUGGUGAACUAUGCCUGAAUAGGGCGAAGCCAGAGGAAACUCUGGUGGAGGCUCGUAG
rnacentral:rRNA from 2 species